GCAAAGGAGGCUGGGAAAUGGAGAGGCAACACAAGGCCACCACAGGGCAUCAUUAAGAGCCACUGUCAUUAAGCUACCACUGUGUGGUAGCACAUUCCUGAAAUCCCAGCACUUUGGGAGGCAGAGGGAAACAACCCAAAGACCCUGCCAGCAGAAGUCCAGCAUCCAGGGCUCACCUCCCAGCUGUGUGGGCUCUGGGCAUGUGAUGCGCCACUCUCCUCACUUAUGUUGGGAAAAUCACGGAUCAUAUCCCCAGGAGCAGCCAGAAGAAUCCAGUUUCCCAGUCCUGUCCAUCAGAUUGGAUGCAGUGUUUGCUGGUGUUUCCCAGGAAGCAAACUUCAGGGGACUUUGGAUGUUACAGAAAGGAUUAAUGAUGCCCUAUAUUUUGGAUCUUGGUGCAUGUCUGAUCCAAAAAUUCUGAGGACAUCCUUAUACUUUCCAAAUUCCCCAUGUGCUUCAUAGAAGAAGAAGCUAUUCAAGCAACAUCAUGCCUGGAAAGAUUUUUUUAACACUACCUGGUUA
rnacentral:lncRNA from 1 species